CAAGCGGUGGAGCAUGUGGUUUAAUUCGAUGCAACGCGAAGAACCUUACCUACUCUUGACAUCCACCGAACUUAGCAGAGAUGCUUUGGUGCCUUCGGGAACGCUGAGACAGGUGCUGCAUGGCUGUCGUCAGCUCGUGUUGUGAAAUGUUGGGUUAAGUCCCGCAACGAGCGCAACCCUUAUCCUUUGUUGCCAGCGAUACGGUCGGGGACUCAAAGGAGACUGCCGGUGAUAAACCGGAGGAAGGUGGGGAUGACGUCAAGUCAUCAUGGCCCUUACGAGUAGGGCUACACACGUGCUACAAUGGCGCAUACAAAGAGAAGCGACCUCGCGAGAGCAAGCGGACCUCAGAAAGUGCGUCGUAGUCCGGAUCGGAGUCUGCAACUCGACUCCGUGAAGUCGGAAUCGCUAGUAAUCGUGGAUCAGAAUGCCACGGUGAAUACGUUCCCGGGCCUUGUACACACC
rnacentral:rRNA from 1 species